rnacentral:rRNA from 1 species
AGUCCCGCAAGGUUCAAGUAAAGUGGCGACCGGGUGAGUAAUACAUAGGUAACCUACUUAUAAGUUGGGAAUAACAGUUCGAAAGGACUGCUAAUACCGAAUAAUAUUUUAUAACACAAGUUGUAAUAUCAAAGAUGGCCUCUUUACAAUGCUAUCGCUUAUAAAUGGGCUUAUGCACCAUUAGCUAGUUGGUAGGGUAAUGGCCUACCAAGGCAAUGAUGGUUAGCUGGUCUGAAGAGGAUGAUCAGCCACACUGGAACUGCAAACACGGUCCAGACUCCUACGGGAGGCAGCAGUGGGGAAAUAUUGCGCAAUGGGGGAAACCCUGACGCAGCAACGCCGCGUGAGCGAUGAAGGCCUUCGGGUUGUAAAGCUCUGUCAGAUGGGAAGAAAACCCGUUACUCUAAUACAGUAGCGGACUGACGGUACCCAUCAAAGGAAGCACCGGCUAACUCCGUGCCAGCAGCCGCGGUAAUACGGAGGGUGCAAGCGUUGUUCGGAAUUACUGGGCGUAAAGGGCGCGUAAGCGGGUAUAAUAAGUUAGGUGUGAAAUCUUCGGGCUUACCCGGAAAGUGCACUUAAAACUGUUAUCUAGAGUUCGGGAGGGGAAAGCGGAAUUCCUAGUGUAGAGGUGAAAUUUGUAGAUAUUAGGAAAACCCCGGUGGCGAAGCGCUUCUGGAACAUCUGACCUGAAGCCGAAACGUGGGGACAAACAGGAUAAAUCCCUGGUAGCCCCCUGUAACGAUGACCUAAGUUUGGAAAUAUUCCUUUGGCUCACUACCCUUAAUGUCCCCUGGGA